GAAUGGAAAGAACGGGCGGGAGGCACUGACGGGCUCUGCAGGAGGCAGCGACUUCACGCUGCAGACAUUUAAAAGCAGUUUGUGUGACACGUAAGCGGUGAAAAAAGUCCUUGCUGAAAAUGUUAGAGAAAACCAGCAAAUAUCUUUUGCAGGAGGUAAAACAGGGCUUGUGGUCUGUCGGUGGCUUCUAAGGAGGGGCAGGCAGCAAGGGUACAAGCUUUGGAAUAGAAUAAGCAAAAUGAACCCAUCAAGUUGGAGAGUUUCUCUUCAGUAAUGCUGCUUUGGAGUAGAGGGAACAGAAAAUAAUGUACUGAAAAGGGAGCUGGAGAGGGAGCGAUCAAAAUAAUGACAAAAAGAGUAGUUCUGAAGUGAGAUCCCAAUGCUAACGGGAAAAGUUAAAGUAUUGCAAAUACUUUGUUAUCUCUCAGGUUUUUGGCUACAUACCCAGAUAGUCAUUGGACAGUUCCGAAAUUAGAAGAGUGCCUUCCUCCCAUCCAUGAAAUCUGACAGAUGCAAUUUUUUAGUAACAUGGGCUUCAGAAAUCAGGAUACAGGGAUGCAGAAUUCAGUGCCUCUCUCUGAAUUAAUUUUAAGACUGAAGACUUUAUUUUCAAAACUGUGUUCAAUUUUUUUUUUUAAAUAGUUAAGACUUACUGUGGGUGAGAAGCCAAAUUUUGUUACCUGGCCUCCAUCACAGAGUAAGAUUACUGAAGAUGAUUACUGCACAGGAAGGGAAAAUAUGCAGUCGUGAAUAGCUAGUGUUAUACCUAGGGAUGUAUUUGGCUUCUCUGUGUUAUUUAAAAAUAACAUUCUCUCUUGCAUGAGUGUUCAGUGACGUUGCUCUUCCCAAUGCAAACCUUUAUGGAAGAAGAGGAAAUCGUAUUAUGUGGUUAGCACAUAAACUAGCUAAAUUUUGUUAGCUGUAGGGUAUUGUUAAGUAUGAGCUGGUUUAAUUUAAACUCAGCUAAUUUUAUUUAAAAUACCUUCUGUUCACUUACUCUAAAGCUGUAUCCCCAGACUCAUUAGGAAGAGUUUAAUGCUGUAGCAAUCCAUUUUAAACGAGUUUUUUCUCCAUAUGUAUUUGUAAUAUAAAUUGAUUGUUAAAGUAAAUGGAUUCUACUACAAUCUGAGUAAAUUAUGUAACCAGAUUAUAGAGGGAUAGUAAUACCCAAGGAUGUUGAUCAUUCUUUGUUGCAGUACCUUAUUUAACCAGGAUUUGAUGAAGAACAUUUAUUUAUGUGCAAGUUUCAACACAGAUGUGUGUGAAACGGCGUAUAGAAAAAUUAGUAUGACAUCAUUGUUUAUUUUUGGAUUCUUGGUGGGAUUAUAUUUUCUUUGGGAAGACAAAUGAAUUUUCUUGUACUGCAUCUUGAAUUUCUUGAAACUUUUUAGUCCAUAGUUAGGUUAAGAGCCUCUCUUUGUAUGCCAAAGAAUGACAAAUUUGUUGGUUACGUCGUAGACAAAA